GUNCGGACCGAGCGUUGUCCGGAAUCAUUGGGCGUAAAGAGCGUGUAGGCGGCCAAUUAAGUCCUGCGUGAAAUCUCGGGGCUCAACCCCGAGCGGUCGUGGGAAACUGGUUGGCUAGAGUGCGGGAGAGGAGAGUGGAAUUCCUGGUGUAGCGGUGAAAUGCGCAGAUAUCAGGAAGAACACCCGUGGCGAAGGCGGCUCUCUGGAACGCAACUGACGCUGAGACGCGAAAGCGUGGGGAGCAAACAGGAUUAGAUACCCUGGUAGUCCACGCCGUAAACGAUGGACGCUAGGUGUGGGCGGUGUCGACUCCGUCCGUGCCGAAGCUAACGCAUUAAGCGUCCCGCCUGGGGAGUACGGCCGCAAGGCUA
rnacentral:rRNA from 1 species